rnacentral:sRNA from 12 species
UAGUGUCUUUACAAUAGAAGCUGCUUCAAUAGUCUUUGUAGAGACACUAAUACUAGUUAGUGCCGAAAGUUAUUAAACCGAAUGGAUUUAGUAGGUAAUUAAGUUGAAUUAACAACUUCCCUCAAGUGCUAUAUGCCGUAGGGUGGAAAAACAACGUGCCACUGAUCA